UUGCAUAUUUCAAAAGCGGAGGAAAAGAAACCAACAGGGAUUGCCUUAGUAACGGCGAGUGAAGCGGCAAAAGCUCAAAUUUGAAAUCUGGCGCCUUCGGUGUCCGAGUUGUAAUUUGAAGAAGGUAACUUUGGAGUUGGCUCUUGUCUAUGUUCCUUGGAACAGGACGUCACAGAGGGUGAGAAUCCCGUGCGAUGAGAUGCCCAAUUCUAUGUAAAGUGCUUUCGAAGAGUCGAGUUGUUUGGGAAUGCAGCUCUAAGUGGGUGGUAAAUUCCAUCUAAAGCUAAAUAUUGGCGAGAGACCGAUAGCGAACAAGUACAGUGAUGGAAAGAUGAAAAGAACUUUGAAAAGAGAGUGAAAAAGUACGUGAAAUUGUUGAAAGGGAAGGGCUUGAGAUCAGACUUGGUAUUUUGCGAUCCUUUCCUUCUUGGUUGGGUUCUCCGCAGCUUACUGGGCCAGCAUCGGUUUGGAUGGUAGGAUAAUGAUUAAGGAAUGUGGCUCUACUUCGGUGGAGUGUUAUAGCCUUGGUUGAUACUGCCUGUCUAGACCGAGGACUGCGUCUUGACUAGGAUGCUGCAAAUUAACCC
rnacentral:rRNA from 1 species